rnacentral:tRNA from 1 species
CAAGGCAUAGCUUAAGACAAAGCGAUUGGUUUACACCCAAAAGAUGUCGUCUAGAUAGACUGCCCUGA